GAUGAAGAACGCAGCGAAAUGCGAUAAGUAGUGUGAAUUGCAGAAUUCCGUGAAUCAUCGAAUCUUUGAACGCACAUUGCGCCUUCUGGUAUUCCGGAAGGCAUGCCUGUUCGAGAGUCAUUAACAACCGUUUCGAUCCCUUUCUUUCAGAAAUUACAAAAAGGAAAAGGGUUUGGUUAUGGUGGAGGAGGGAAAGGGAGCGUUUAGCCUGUAAAAAAAGAGGCUGUGUUCCGCCUCCCCCCCAAAAUUGUACAGGCGGUCGUGUGCGCCCACGCAUCGAGGUGUUGUAAAAGCUGCCACGGCACUUUUCACCUGUGCAGUGCGAGAUUGGCCAGCCGGUUUAAAAACCCCUCCAAACAAUCAAAGGUUGACCUCGGAUCAGGUAGGGAUACCCGCUGAACUUAAGCAUAUCAAUAAGCGGAGGA
rnacentral:misc_RNA from 1 species